rnacentral:rRNA from 1 species
UACAGAGGGGGCAAGCGUUGUUCGGAAUUACUGGGCGUAAAGGGCGCGUAGGCGGCCUGCUAAGUCGAACGUGAAAUCCCCGGGCUCAACCCGGGAACUGCGUCCGAUACUGGCAGGCUUGAAUCCGGGAGAGGGAUGUGGAAUUCCAGGUGUAGCGGUGAAAUGCGUAGAUAUCUGGAGGAACACCGGUGGCGAAGGCGGCAUCCUGGACCGGCAUUGACGCUGAGGCGCGAAAGCAUGGGGAGCGAACAGG